CCUUUCCAAGAAGAGAACUUCUCAUACAUGUACUUUUCAUUUUAAAAUAAAGUAUAUGAAUCAGUGAUGUGAGUGUUGGAUGAUGCCGUUAAAUAGUUUUGUUUAAAAAAAAACCAUCAUGAACUACUGACUUAAAAAGUCACUUUUUGUGACGGUUCAUUAUUUAAUAAUUUAAGUUUGGAUGUAACGGGUCUUCUGUCGUUAUUGUGUUAUCAGCGCCCAUAGACAUAAGUUAGUCAUGUGACCGUAAUGUCAUCAAACGUUUUUCAUGGUUUGGCAAGG
rnacentral:lncRNA from 1 species